rnacentral:rRNA from 1 species
GAUGAACGCUGGCGGCGUGCCUAACACAUGCAAGUCGAACGGCAACCCUUGGAUUCGUCUGAGGGUGAGAGUGGCAAACGGGUGAGUAACACGUAGGUGACCUACCCCGAAGAGGGGAAUAACCGCUGGAAACGGUGGCUAAUACCCCAUGUGCUCGAUGGUUCAGUUCAUCGAGUAAAGCUCCGGCGCUUCGGGAUGGGCCUGCGGCCUAUCAGGUAGUUGGUAGGGUAACGGCCUACCAAGCCAAUGACGGGUAGGGGGCGUGAGAGCGUGAUCCCCCACACUGGCACUGCGACACGGGCCAGACUCCUACGGGUGGCAG